GACGAACGCUGGCGGCGUGCUUAACACAUGCAAGUCGAACGAUGACGCCCGAGCUUGCUCGGUCUGAUUAGUGGCGAACGGGUGAGUAACACGUGAGCAACCUGCCCUUCACUCUGGGAUAACCUCGGGAAAUCGGGGCUAAUACCGGAUAUGAGCUCCUGUCGCAUGGCGGAUGUUGGAAAGUUUUUCGGUGAAGGAUGGGCUCGCGGCCUAUCAGUUUGUUGGUGAGGUAGUGGCUCACCAAGGCGAUGACGGGUAGCCGGCCUGAGAGGGCGACCGGCCACACUGGGACUGAGACACGGCCCAGACUCCUACGGGAGGCAGCAGUGGGGAAUAUUGCACAAUGGGCGAAAGCCUGAUGCAGCGACGCCGCGUGAGGGAUGACGGCCUUCGGGUUGUAAACCUCUUUCAGCAGGGAAGAAGCGAAAGUGACGGUACCUGCAGAAGAAGCGCCGGCUAACUACGUG
rnacentral:rRNA from 1 species